rnacentral:rRNA from 1 species
AGACCCGAAACCCGGUGAUCUAGCCAUGGGCAGGUUGAAGGUUGGGUAACACUAACUGGAGGACCGAACCGACUAAUGUUGAAAAAUUAGCGGAUGACCUGUGGCUGGGGGUGAAAGGCCAAUCAAACCGGGAGAUAGCUGGUUCUCCCCGAAAGCUAUUUAGGUAGCGCCUCGUGAAUUCAUCUCCGGGGGUAGAGCACUGUUUCGGCUAGGGGGCCAUCCCGGCUUACCAACCCGAUGCAAACUGCGAAUACCGGAGAAUGUUAUCACGGGAGACACACGGCGGGUGCUAACGUCCGUCGUGAAGAGGGAAACAACCCAGACCGCCAGCUAAGGUCCCAAAGUCAUGGUUAAGUGGGAAACGAUGUGGGAAGGCCCAGACAGCCAGGAUGUUGGCUUAGAAGCAGCCAUCAUUUAAAGAAAGCGUAAUAGCUCACUGGUCGAGUCGGCCUGCGCGGAAGAUGUAACGGGGCUAAACCAUGCACCGAAGCUGCGGCAGCGAACGUAUCACUUAAAGCGAUUCAGCGGGUUACGAUUGACGGAGCGAAGCGACGUCAAAGCGUAUACAAAGUCGAGUCGGUUUAAGGAUACGUUCGUUGGGUAGGGGAGCGUUCUGUAAGCCCGUGAAGGUGGCCUGUGAGGGUUGCUGGAGGUAUCAGAAGUGCGAAUGCUGACAUAAGUAACGAUAAAGCGGGUGAAAAGCCCGCUCGCCGGAAGACCAAGGGUUCCUGUCCAACGUUAAUCGGGGCAGGGUGAGU